CGAUCAGGGCCUGCAGUCUCGACAUAAGAUAGCGAUUCGAUCGCAAACUGACAGUCGCUAAAUAUUAACGAAAAUAUUCGCUUGCCAUAACGACAGUAACGAUAAACGCAAGUCUCGACAGCCGAGAUAGCGGGCAACAUCGCUAAUUAUCAUGACAUAUUCGUGUCGGUACGAUAGCGAAAACCGUAUUCAUAGUGCGGUGAAUUUGUAUUAAAAUGUUGCAUGUAAAAAAAAUCCUUGUAUUAUAGGGAGAAAUGGUAGACAAGAUUUGCACAACCAAUUUUGUUUCCUUUGACAAUUAUAAAGAAAAUAGAUGAACCUUAUCAUAUUAAAACUUUUUGCAUCGAACCGUGUAAGUAAAACAUACCGUUUUUUAAGAAAACACAUAUUAAAGAUCUUAAUAGUUUGCGUACUUGCAAUACAGACAUAGAACAUAAACAAACUGUCAAUGUCAAGUUUGUUUGUGCACUUGAACAUUGGUUUGAUUUAUAAUAAUAAUAAAGGAGAACGGUGUAUUCAUUACUAUUCAUGGACGGUGAAGUCAUUGAAACAGGCGCAGGCCUGCCGGGUGCCAGCAGCUUGAGCGUCAGGCGUAAGCGUCUGCGUAGCCCUCGUGUUACACCCGCUCAAAUUGAUGCACUACUAUCAAUAUUAGAAGCGCGUCCAUAUUUGCACGCGGAAAUUUACCGGCUUGCAGGGCCGGGAAAAUUUCGAAACGGGCUGGAGGGAGGUUGCCGAGGAGCUCAAUAAUCUCCCUAACGGGUCUAGAAAGACACCAGAGCAGUGGAUGACGGUUUGGAGAGACUUAAAAAGCCGCGCUUGCAGUAAGGCGGCAAAAUUAAAAAGAACAAAACGUACCGGCAACCGAG